GAUGAACGCUAGCGGCAGGCCUAACACAUGCAAGUCGAGGGGUAACAGAGAGAAGCUUGCUUUUCUGCUGACGACCGGCGCACGGGUGCGUAACGGGUAUACAAUCUACCUCUUACUGGGGGAUAGCCCGGAGAAAUUCGGAUUAAUACCCCAUAAUAUGUUUGAUUCGCAUGUUUUAAACAUUAAAGAUUUAUCGGUAAGAGAUGAGUAUGCUUCCCAUUAGCUAGUUGGUACGGUAACGGCGUACCAAGGCUACGAUGGGUAGGGGGCCUGAGAGGGUAGUCCCCCACACUGGUACUGAGACACGGACCAGACUCCUACGGGAGGCAGCAGUGAGGAAUAUUGGUCAAUGGAGGCAACUCUGAACCAGCCAUGCCGCGUGCAGGAAGAAUGCCUUAU
rnacentral:rRNA from 1 species